rnacentral:rRNA from 1 species
UACAGGGAGGUGCAAGCGUUGUUCGGAAUUAUUGGGCGUAAAGGGCGCGUAGGCGGUGCGGUAAGUCUGUAGUGAAAUCUCUGGGCUCAACUCAGAGUCUGCUGCAGAAACUGCCGUGCUUGAGUGUGGGAGAGGUGAGUGGAAUUCCCGGUGUAGCGGUAAAAUGCGUAGAUAUCGGGAGGAACACCUGUGGCGAAAGCGGCUCACUGGACCACAACUGACGCUGAGGCGCGAAAGCGUGGAGGGACA